GCCCUGGCUGGGGGGCUUGAUGAGCGACAGCGGCUUGGUGGUCCCCACGGGACAGCUUCGGACGGCCAGCUUCUGCGGGAAGACAGGCAGGCAGGCAACAAAAACAGUCGAGCUUCCAGAAACGCCCUGAGAGUUUUAAAUACAUUUUCAUAUUCCAGCGAAUAAAUAACAAACCAGAACCAUCCAGAACCUGUUGGGUCCUAAUUCCUCUCCACCAGCAGCUUCCUGGGAAGCUUUUGUUUCAGGGAAUCAAUGGAAUCCGCAGGCGGCCCGGACAGCCGCCCGCUUCAGGACCCGCUGGCCCGCCGCUCGCCAUUCAGAGCCGGGGCCCCUCCUAUUGUCUGAAAGGUCACUCAUUUAAAGCCUCUGCAGGCUGGAGACCCGAGACCGGCCCCUCCCGGACGGACGGGGGGUCAGCAGAGUUAAGCGAGGAUGCAGCAGCUUUCAUCAGGGUGCGCUCGCUGCUCACCUUUCAUCUAAUGACGGUGGAGGAAACGGGCUUUCUGCUGGCCGCCUUGCCGCGGCCUGAGAGCUGAUGAUGCAGAACAUUAAAGCUGCACAUCAGCAGCAGCUUUUCUACCGCUGUUGCUCCGGUUUCUGCUGCUGCCUCUUCCAGAUCGGAGCAGAAACUGGAUCCGAGUUUGCUUUUCUCACCAAACCAACAACAAACAAAAAAACUUCAUCUAAUCUUA